GGAUUUUUUUCCAUGCCACAUUAAUGGACAUGAUGUAUGCAUAAUUUUUUGUUUUACAUACAUUGUACAACAACAUGUAUAUAUGUACAAUAAUAUUUACUUUUUUCUUUCAGGAACAAUGAUAAACAAGUGAACUGAUGGUUUAAAACUACCAAGAUGUGAAGUAAUGAACUAAAGAGUAACGUGAAGUCAGACAAUACAACUUGAGGUGUCAGAAUUUGUGCAAAAUUUUUGUUAUUUGCAGAUAUAUGGAUGGAUUUUGUCAAAAUAUGAACUGAAACACUGGGA
rnacentral:lncRNA from 1 species